AUUGCUCCAAGAUGGCGGCGGCGGCGGCAGCGGGAGCGCAGCUCAGCUGGGCUGGAACUGCCCUCCUGGAACUCCCCCAGCCUGCAACCUAGGAGGUGCAGGGACUGAGGCUCAGGCCAAAUCACAACUCAGACCUGGUGAACCCAAGGCCUGAAGAGAAUUUGGAUUCAUUUACAUUGUUUUGUGGGGACUGGAGAGACAAGUAAACUCUCAGCUUAACUGUCCCCUCCCGGUCUGACUACCAUUUCUAAGGCAAGCCCCCUGUUUCUACUCUUGCGCCCCCUGCUGGUUUCCUGCCCUAUCUGUAAGUUGCAUGGCUUUUGUCCGUCUUUUUUUUUUUUUUUUUUUUUUUGAGACAGGGUCUCACCCAGGCUGGAGUGAAAUGAA
rnacentral:sRNA from 1 species